rnacentral:rRNA from 1 species
UACGUAGGCAGCGAGCGUUGUUCGGAAUUACUGGGCGUAAAGAGUGUGUAGGCGGUGUUCUAAGUCUGUUGUGAAAUCUCCCGGCUCAACUGGGAGGGUGCAGCGGAAACUGGAAUGCUAGAGUGUGGGAGAGGUAAGCGGAAUUCCUGGUGUAGCGGUGAAAUGCGUAGAUAUCAGGAGGAACACCUGCGGUGUAGACAGCUUACUGGACCACGACUGACGCUGAGACACGAAAGUGUGGGUAGCAAACAGG